CCUACGGGGGGCAGCAGUGGGGAAUAUUGGACAAUGGGGGCAACCCUGAUCCAGCCAUGCCGCGUGUGUGAAGAAGGCCCUCGGGUUGUAAAGCACUUUCAGUGAGGAAGAACGCCUGGUGGUUAAUACCCAUCAGGAAAGACAUCACUCACAGAAGAAGCACCGGCUAACUCCGUGCCAGCAGCCGCGGUAAUACGGAGGGUGCGAGCGUUAAUCGGAAUUACUGGGCGUAAAGCGCGCGUAGGUGGCUUGAUAAGCCGGUUGUGAAAGCCCCGGGCUCAACCGGGGAACGGCAUCCGGAACUGUCAAGCUAGAGUGCAGGAGAGGAAGGUAGAAUUCCAGGUGUAGCGGUGAAAUGCGUAGAGAUCGGGAGGAAUACCAGUGGCGAAGGCGGCCUUCUGGACUGACACUGACACUGAGGUGCGAAAGCGUGGGUAGCAAACAGGAUUAGAUACCCCUGUAGUC
rnacentral:rRNA from 1 species